rnacentral:rRNA from 1 species
CCUAAUACAUGCAAGUCGAGCGCGGGAAGCAAGCUGAUCCUCUUCGGAGGUGACGCUUGUGGAACGAGCGGCGGACGGGUGAGUAACACGUGGGCAACCUGCCUGUAAGACUGGGAUAACCCCGGGAAACCGGGGCUAAUACCGGAUAAUACUUUUCAUCACCUGAUGAGAAGUUGAAAGGUGGCUUUUAGCUACCACUUACAGAUGGGCCCGCGGCGCAUUAGCUAGUUGGUGAGGUAACGGCUCACCAAGGCAACGAUGCGUAGCCGACCUGAGAGGGUGAUCGGCCACACUGGGACUGAGACACGGCCCAGACUCCUACGGGAGGCAGCAGUAGGGAAUCUUCCGCAAUGGACGAAAGUCUGACGGAGCAACGCCGCGUGAGUGAUGAAGGUUUUCGGAUCGUAAAGCUCUGUUGUUAGGGAAGAACAAGUGCCGUUCGAAUAGGGCGGCACCUUGACGGUACCUAACCAGAAAGCCCCGGCUAACUACGUGCCAGCAGCCGCGGUAAUACGUAGGGGGCAAGCGUUGUCCGGAAUUAUUGGGCGUAAAGCGCGCGCAGGCGGUCCUUUAAGUCUGAUGUGAAAGCCCACGGCUCAACCGUGGAGGGUCAUUGGAAACUGGAGGACUUGAGUACAGAAGAGGAGAGUGGAAUUCCAC